CCUACGGGGUGCAGCAGUGGGGAAUAUUGGGCAAUGGGCGCAAGCCUGACCCAGCAACGCCGCGUGAAGGAAGAAGGCUUUCGGGUUGUAAACUUCUUUUCUCAGGGACGAAGAAAGUGACGGUACCUGAUUAAUACGCGACUGCUAACUACGUGCCAGCAGCCGCGGUAAUACGUAGGUGGCAAGCGUUAUCCGGAUGUAUUGGGUGUAAAGGGCGUGUAGGCGGGAGGGCAAGUCAGGUGUGAAAACUCAGGGCUCAACCCUGAGUCUGUAUUUGAAACUGUGUUUCUGGAGUGCAGGAGAGGUAAGCGGAAUUCGGUGUGUAGCGGUGAAAUGCGUAGAUAUACGGAGGAACACCAGUGGCGAAGGCGGAUUGCUGGACAGUAACUGACGCUGAGGCGCGAAAGCGUGGGGAGCAAACAGGAUUAGAUACCCCUGUAGUC
rnacentral:rRNA from 1 species